rnacentral:rRNA from 1 species
GACGAACGCUGGCGGCGUGCUUAACGCAUGCAAGUCGAACGGAGUUCCUUGGAUAGAGGCUUCGGCCAAUUGAAAUGGAACUUAGUGGCGGACUGGUGAGUAACGCGUGAGGAACCUGCCUUCCAGUGGGGGACAACAGUUGGAAACGACUGCUAAUACCGCAUAAUGUAUUCGGACCGCAUGAUCUGAAUACCAAAGCUUUAUGUGCUGGAAGAUGGCCUCGCGUCUGAUUAGCUAGUUGGUGGGGUAACGGCCCACCAAGGCAACGAUCAGUAGCCGGUCUGAGAGGAUGAACGGCCACAUUGGGACUGAGAUACGGCCCAG